GCCGCCCAAAGUGCUGCGAUUACAGGCGUGAGCCACCGCGCCCGGCCUAUUUUAUUUUAUUUUAAGACGGAGUCUCACUCUGUCGCCCAGGCUGGAGCGCAGGGGCGGGAUCUCGGCUCACUGCAACCUCCGCCUCUCCGGCUCACUGCAACCUCCGGCUCACUGCAACCUCCAACUCUCCAACUCUCCAACUCUCCAACUCUCCAACUCUCCAACUCUCCGGUUCACGCGAUUCUUGUGCCUCCGCCUCCCGACUAGGUGGGAUUACAGGCGCCCGCCAGCACGCCUGGCUAAUUUUUGUAUUUUUAGUACAGACGGGGGUUUCAUCAUGUUGGCGGCCGGACUGUUCUCUAACUCCUGACCUCAAGUAAUCGGCCCGCCUCGGCCUCCCAAAGUGCUGGAACUACAGGCGUGAGCCACCGCGCCCGGCCCCAUUUCCUUUAUUUUAUUUUACUAUGUUCAGACGGAGUUUCGCUCUUGCUGUCCAAGCUGGAAUGCAGUGGCGCGAUCUCGGCUCACCGCAACCUCUACCUCCCAGGUUCAAGCGAUUCUCCUGCAUCAACCUCCGGAGUAGCUGGGAUUACAGGCGCACGCCACCACGCCCGACUACAUUUCCUUUAUUUUAUUUUUAUACUUUACUAGCCUGUUUGUUGAUCACAAGACUGGCGGUGCACAAGGUUGGGUCUCGGUGUUCACCGGGCGGUGGGCGUGGGCGAGGUGGGAGGGUCUCCAGCGCCUGGUGCUAAUCUCCAAGAAAGUGCAGGAAACAGCACCAAACGUGAUUGCAAAGUUUUGGUUUGGCGCGGCGGGUAGGCGUUCCAGCGCAGAAAUGCGCAGGAAAGUUUCUGCUGUGCUUGUAGGAAGGUCGGCCACAAGCACUUCUUUUGUUUUUUGAAACCGAGUUUCGCUCUGUCGCCCAGGCAGGAGUGCAGUGGCGUGAUAUCCGCUCACUGCAAGCUCCGCCUCCCGGGUUCACGCCAUUCUGCGGCCUCAGCUUCCCGAGUAGCUGGGACUAUAGGCGCCCGCCACCACGUCUGGUUAAUUUUUCGUAUUUUUAGUAGAGACGGGGUUUCACCGUGUUAGCCAGGAUGGUCUCGAUCUUCUGACCUCGUGAUCCGCCCGCCUCGGCCUCCCAAAGUGCUGGGAUUACAGGCGUGAGCCGCCGCGCUCGGCCGGCCCCAAACACUUCUUAUUGGCUAAUCUGGAGCAAACCUGCAUAUCCAUUGGCUGAAAGCUCCGUCUAUUUUAGGGUGACUGAGAGCGUCUCUUCCUUCUGUGUUGCCUGGAAACGGACUGUUCGCCUAGUAACAUCUGAUCACGUUUCCCAUUGGUCACCGUUUCCGGAAGCCCGCUCUCCCGUUUCCGGAAUCCCCGCAGGCGCUGGGUCUGCAGAUGGCGUCCAGGUACACAGUGGCGAGUGUGAUUCCGCAGUCUUGGGCUGUUUGGCCAAGCGCCCGCCGGACAUGGUACGCCGAAGGGUCAUCGGCGUGGAGUCCUCGCUUUCAGCGUCCGCGGCUGGGAAAUCGGCCAUCGCUACGGCGGGAACUGGGACUCGGGCUGCGUCCCGGCCCUUCCACAUCGGUCCACCGCACUCGUGGGCGCCCGCAUUGGUGCUGACAUAAUUUCCUGACCUCUGACCCGUAUUGUCUCGCGAUUAAAGGUCCAGAUUUGGAACAAAUCUCUCUAGAGAUUGAACAGAGCUGCGCCUGGAUCCCUCAGCAGUGAGGAGACCUGAAGACCAGAGGAAACACAGCAAUAGAGAUGAAGUUUCACCAUGUUGGCCAGGCUGGUCACAAACCAGCCAGCCUCAGCUGAUCUGCCAGCCUCAGCCCCCCAAAAUGCUGGAAUUACAGGUGUGUACCACCAUUCCCAGCAUUUAGUUAACGUUUUUUGUAGGUGCUUUGAGCUAUAAAUCAAUGUAAAUUUUUAAACAUAUAUAUAACAAGUUCUUCUAGCAUUGUUUGUUAAAAAGAUUACCUCUUCUUUAAUAAAUUUCCUUUGCACCACUGUCACAAAUCAGUUGUCCAUGUAUGUGUGUUUCUCAACUCUCUAUUUUAUUCCAUGAAUACCACACAGUCUUGAUUACUGUAGCUUUAUAAUAAGUCUUAAAUUCAGGUAACAUAUGUUCUCCAACUUUUUCUUUUUUUUUUUUUGAGUCGGAGUCUCCCUCUGUCAUCCAGACUAGAGUGCAAUGGCGUGAUCUCGGCUCACUUCAACCUCCGACUCCCAGGUUCAAGCAAUUCUCCCUGCCUCAGCUUCCCAAGUAGCUGGAAUUUCAGGUGCCUGCCAGCAGACCUGGCUAUUUUUGUAUUUUUUAGUAGAGAUGGGUUUUGCCAUGUUGGCUGGUCUUGAACUCCUGACCUCAGGUGAUCUGUCCACCGCAGCCUACCAAAGUGCUGGGAUUACAGGCAUGAGCCAUCGCGCCCAGCCUAUUUUCCAACUUUCAGAAUUAUUUUUAAAAGUUGUUUUCACUAAUCUAGGUCCUUUGCAUGUCCAUAUGUAUUUUAGAAUUGAGUUCCCAAUUUCUACAAAACAAAAAGCCUCCUGAAUAUUCAAAAUGGGAUUUCACUGAAUCUAUAGGUCAGGUUGGAAAGAAUUGACAUAUUAAUGGUAUUGAGUCUUGUAGUCUCUGAACAUAGUAUAUCUCUAUUUAGGUCUUUUUUAAAGUUCUCCCAGA
rnacentral:lncRNA from 10 species